CCUACGGGAGGCAGCAGUGGGGAAUAUUGCACAAUGGGCGAAAGCCUGAUGCAGCGACGCCGCGUGAGCGAUGAAGUAUUUCGGUAUGUAAAGCUCUAUCAGCAGGGAAGAUAAUGACGGUACCUGACUAAGAAGCCCCGGCUAACUACGUGCCAGCAGCCGCGGUAAU
rnacentral:rRNA from 1 species